UGAGGAAUAUUGGUCAAUGGACGCAAGUCUGAACCAGCCAAGUCGCGUGCAGGAUGACGGACCUAUGGGUUGUAAACUGCUUUUAUAUGGGGAUAAAGUGGGGAACGUGUUCCCUUUUGCAGGUACCAUAUGAAUAAGGACCGGCUACUUCCGUGCCAGCAGCCGCGGUAAUACGGAAGGUUCGGGCGUUAUCCGGAUUUAUUGGGUUUAAAGGGAGCGUAGGCCGGUUGGUAAGCGUGUUGUGAAAUGUAGGAGCUCAACUUCUAGAUUGCAGCGCGAACUGUCAGACGUGAGUGCGCACAACGUAGGCGGAAUUCAUGGUGUAGCGGUGAAAUGCUUAGAUAUCAUGAAGAACUCCGAUUGCGAAGGCAGCGUACGGGAGCGCAACUGACGCUGAAGCUCGAAGGUGCGGGUAUCGAACAGG
rnacentral:rRNA from 1 species